AACGCAUAUUGCGCCCAAGGCUUCGGCCGAGGGCAUGUCUGCCUCAGCGUCGUAACAUCCCAUCGCCCCCCUCCCCUUUGGUGGAGCCGGCUCAGCUCUUAUGCUGGGCUUGGGAGCGGAUGUGGCUUUCCCACGUUUCCAGCGUGGGUUGGCUGAAAAAUAGAGGCUAGAGCAAGGACCCGUUAUGGGGCUCAACUGGAUAGGUAGACCGGGUGCCUCACGGCGCCUGCUACACGAAGUUGAUGCCUUGUGGCCCUUUGCUGGCGGCCAGCAGGAAACGAGCAGUGUGUGGUGCAAGCUUUGAUUGGCUUUGCCCGCCUCUGCCGUGAUACCAUUGGGUCGACUGAGCUCAGGCAAGAUUACCCGCUGAACUUAA
rnacentral:misc_RNA from 1 species